rnacentral:rRNA from 1 species
AGAGUUUGAUCCUGGCUCAGGACGAACGCUGGCGGCGUGCCUAAUACAUGCAAGUCGAGCGAGCUGAACCAACAGAUUCACUUCGGUGAUGACGUUGGGAACGCGAGCGGCGGAUGGGUGAGUAACACGUGGGGAACCUGCCCCAUAGUCUGGGAUACCACUUGGAAACAGGUGCUAAUACCGGAUAAGAAAGCAGAUCGCAUGAUCAGCUUAUAAAAGGCGGCGUAAGCUGUCGCUAUGGGAUGGCCCCGCGGUGCAUUAGCUAGUUGGUAGGGUAACGGCCUACCAAGGCAAUGAUGCAUAGCCGAGUUGAGAGACUGAUCGGCCACAUUGGGACUGAGACACGGCCCAAACUCCUACGGGAGGCAGCAGUAGGGAAUCUUCCACAAUGGACGAAAGUCUGAUGGAGCAACGCCGCGUGAGUGAAGAAGGUUUUCGGAUCGUAAAGCUCUGUUGUUGGUGAAGAAGGAUAGAGGUAGUAACUGGCCUUUAUUUGACGGUAAUCAACCAGAAAGUCACGGCUAACUACGUGCCAGCAGCCGCGGUAAUACGUAGGUGGCAAGCGUUGUCCGGAUUUAUUGGGCGUAAAGCGAGCGCAGGCGGAAGAAUAAGUCUGAUGUGAAAGCCCUCGGCUUAACCGAGGAACUGCAUCGGAAACUGUUUUUCUUGAGUGCAGAAGAGGAGAGUGGAACUCCAUGUGUAGCGGUGGAAUGCGUAGAUAUAUGGAAGAACACCAGUGGCGAAGGCGGCUCUCUGGUCUGCAACUGACGCUGAGGCUCGAAAGCAUGGGUAGCGAACAGGAUUAGAUACCCUGGUAGUCCAUGCCGUAAACGAU